GCCUGGGUGGCUCAGUCAGUAAAGCGUCUGACUUCGGCUCAGGUCAUGAUCUUGUGGUAUGUGAGUUCAAGUCCCGUGUCGGGCU
rnacentral:tRNA from 1 species